AUCUUAAGUUUCUGUUUGAUCUUCAUGGAUUCUCAAAUCUUUAACUUCCUUGCUUUCAUCUUCUUUCUCUUCUUCAUCCUUGCUGCUCUGAGAAUAAGAAAGAAAAGUGAUGUAAUUCCAAAUAUACCCCCAGGACCACAGAAGCUACCUAUCAUAGGAAACAUACCAAAUCUUAUUGCAUCAACUCCACAUAGAAAGCUAAGAGAUUUGGCCAACAAAUAUGGACCAUUGAUGCACCUUCAACUUGGACAAGUCUCUACCAUUGUUGUUUCCUCAGCAGAAUAUGCUAAAGAGGUUAUGAACACACAUGACAUCAUCUUUGCUUCAAGGCCUCCAGUUCUAGCAGCAAAGAUAAUUUCUUAUGAUUGCACAAACAUUGGUUUUGCACCCUAUGGAAAUUACUGGAGGCAGUUAAGGAAGAUUUGCACCUUGGAGCUCUUGAGCACGAAACGAGUCAAUUCGUUCCGGCCAAUAAGAGAAGAGGAGUUCACCAAUCUUGUUAGGAGGAUUAUGUCAUCAAAAGAAGGAUCAGUUAACCUCACUGAAGAAGUGAUUUCGUCGAUAUGUGGAAUCAUUUCGCGGUCUGCGUUCGGAGGCACAAAACGUGGAGACCAAGAGAAGUUCAUAUCGCUUGUGCUACAAGCAACAGAUAUUGCAGGGGGUUUUGAUGUAGGAGAUCUGUUUCCUUCUUGGGAAUGGCUUCAACUUGUGAGUGGAUUGAGGCCUAAGCUUGAGAGUUUCCAAAGACAAAUUGAUGAGAUAUUGGAAAACAUUGUUAGUGAUCACAAAGAGGCAAAGUUGGAAGGUAAAGGCAAAAAUGAUGAAGAUCUUGUGGAUGUUCUCCUUCAAUUUGAAGAUGGUACCAAUCAAGAUAUUUGCUUAAGUAGAAACAAUAUCAAGGCUAUACUCCUGGUAAGGAUAAUCUUGAUCUUGUUUACUCUUUAGUUAGAAGAUUUUUAAUUUUUUUAAUGUAAUCACUGCCUUGCUUUGCCUAACCUCAAGUAAUUAAUCAUUACUUUUUAGGAUAUGUUUGGUGGAGGAAGCGAGACAUCGGCGCAUACCAUAGAUUGGGCAAUGUCAGAGAUGAUAAGGGAUCCAAGAGUAAUGGAGAAAGCACAAGCUGAGAUCAGAGAGUUGUUCAACAGAAUAGGAAAGGUUGAUGAGACUCUCAUCAAUGAACUCAAAUAUUUGAAAGCAGUUGUGAAAGAGACACUAAGGUUACACCCUCCAGCUCCUCUUUUACUUCCAAGAGAAUGUGGAGAAGCUUGUGAGAUCAAUGGAUACUACAUUCCCUACAAAAGUAAGGUCAUAGUGAAUGCUUGGGCAAUUGGAAGAGAUCCAAACUAUUGGAGUGACCCAGAGAAGUUUUAUCCAGAGAGGUUCAUUGAUAGUUCCAUAGAUUACAAAGGGAAUAACUUUGAGUUUGUACCGUUUGGUGCCGGAAGAAGAACAUGCCCCGGCAGCACAUUAGGCCUGCUAAAUGUUGAGCUGGCGCUCGCAUAUUUGUUGUAUCACUUUGAUUGGAAGCUUCCAAGUGGAAUGAAACAUGAGGAAUUGGACAUGUCUGAGGCAUUUGGAGUUGCUGUUAGAAGAAAAAAAGACCUGCAAUUGGUUCCCAUUGUUUUUAGUCCUUUGCUUGAAACAUAAACAUAGAUUAGAUGCUAAUAUGCUAUGUUGUGUAUCCUUUGAUCAAGAUUCUGGUCAUUUACUUUUGAAAUAAAGCUGCAUGAUUGUGUGAUCGUUGUUAUUGAUUAAAAUCAAUGGCAAUUUGUCAACAUAUUCUUUCUAGCUGAUAUUAAUUAAUACAGUUAUUUUUCAUUGGUUAUUAUAAAAAAAAUUGUCCAUAUAUAAUUUGAAUGAUAAUUGUCAGCUUCUUGUAGUUAUAAGUAGUGAUAUAUAGAACACCAAUAGUCCAAUACUAUAUAUGUGUUUAUUAAGAUUGACUAAGCUUUCUUUUUUAAUAAUCUAAGUUAACCCUGAUUAAUAUUCUGUGUUAAAAUUGCCAUGCAAAAGAAGAAGAAGAAAGAAGUCAAGACUCAUAAAAGUUCAUAAACUUGAAGAUUCUUUAUAAGAUUCCACUCAAGGAAACAUAGAAGCAGACAAAGAUACAGUAGUUUCAACCACCCUCCUGUUGCAAAUAUUCAAAUAGCAAGUCUUGACAAAAACUCUCAAUAAAAAAUGAAACAGGUUAAAGAAAUCUCAAACUCAGAAAGCUUAAGAAUACUUAGUUAAUCAUAUAUAUAGUACUAGUCUGGUAGAGUUAACAAUACCUAGUUGGUUAAGCAGUAAGCAAGUUUGUCCCCUUCCAAAUGGUUUCAACUUCGAGCCAUGCGCAUCGAGUUUAAUGCACCAUGGAUUCUCUACUCUUUGACUUUCCAACACUCUUCUGCUUUUUCCUCUUCAUGCUUGCAGCACUUAAACUAUGGAAGAAGAAGAAUCUCAAUCAAAUUAACUCAACCUCAAACAUAGCCCCAGGUCCAUGGAAGCUACCUAUCAUAGGAAACAUACACCAUCUUGCUACAUCCACGCCUUAUCGAAAAUUAAGAGACUUGUCCAAAAUACAUGGACCUUUGAUGCAUCUACAGCUUGGAGAGAUCUUCACCAUUGUUGUUUCCUCAGCAGAGUAUGCCAAGGAGGUAAUGAAAACACAUGACAUCAUCUUUGCAUCAAGGCCUCAGAUUCUAGCUGCAAAGAUUAUAUCAUAUGAUUGCACAAGCAUAGCCUUAGCACCUUAUGGAAACUACUGGAGACAGCUAAAGAAGAUUUGCACAUUGGAGCUUUUCACUUCGAAGCGUGUCGAUUCAUUUCAGCUGAUAAGAGAAGAAGAGUUCACUAGUCUUAUCAAAAGAAUCAUUGCUGCAACAAAUAAUAAUAAUGGAUCUCCUGUGGACCUCACUCAAGAGGUGUUUUCAACUAUAUACACUGUCACUUCAAGGGCCGCGUUUGGCAUGAAAUUCAAAGAUCAAGAAAGAUUCAUAUCGCUGGCGAAAGAAUUGGCGAAGGUGGGGACUGGUUUUUCUUUAGGAGAUUUGUUUCCAUCAGCUAAAUGGCUUCAACUUGUCUCUGGCUUGAGGCCUAAGAUUGAGAAGUUGCAUGGACAAACGGAUCAGAUACUGCAAAACAUCAUCAAUGAACAUAAAGAGGCAAAGUCAUCAAAAUCCAAAGAAGGACAAGGUGAAGUUGAAGGUCUUCUAGAUGUUCUCUUAAGAUUUGAGGAUGGUAAUGGAUCAAACCAAGAUUUCUCCUUAACUAGUAACAAUAUCAAGGCUAUAAUCUUGGUAAGGAUAGUCAUUUUUCAUGUUGCUAUGUCAGAUUCCAUUUGGUUAUCUUCAUUAUCAGUCUAUUUGGAUAAUAAUACACUUGGUAAUUGACAAUAAGAGAGAAAUUUGUGAAACUUACCCUGUGAACUUAAAUGGUUAAAUAUUGUAAAUAAGAGCAACCAUUUUGUUAUUUCCAAGAAAUAAUGGGUUUAGUUGUUUAUAAUAAUUAAUAUAUUCAUCAGUUGAUGUGCAAAAUGAAGCAUGAAUAGUCCUUAAGGCUUUGAAUUUGCAGAGAAAUACAGUUAGAAAUUGUCAAUAGUACUAGACUGAGAUACUUAACUUUUUCUUCUAUUAAAAUUCACUUAUUCACAAGAAAUUCAUGACAUAAUAAACCAGUAACCUUAUUAUUAGUUGUGUUUGCAUAUUUGUUUCCAUAUUAGAUUAACAUCACUAAUAAUUACUUUUUAGAAUAUCUUUGGUGCUGGUGGUGGGACAACAGCAACUACAAUAGAUUGGGCAAUGGCAGAAAUGAUAAAGGACCCAACAAUAAUGAAGAAAGCACAAGUUGAGGUGAGAGAAAACUUCAGUAAGAAAGGAAGUGUUGAUGAAACUUGCCUCCAUAAACUCAAAUAUUUGAAAUCAGUGGUCAAAGAGACUCUCAGAUUACACCCUCCAGUUCCUCUUUUGCUCCCAAGAGAAUGCAGAUCCGAAUGCGAUAUAAAUGGCUAUCACAUACCUGAAAAGAGUAAGGUCAUUGUGAAUGCUUGGGCAAUAGGAAGAGAUCCAAACUACUGGAGUGAACCAGAAAGGUUUUAUCCAGAGAGAUUCCUUGAUAGCUCUAUUGACUACAGAGGGAACAAUUUUGAGUACAUUCCAUUUGGUGCAGGAAGAAGAAUGUGUCCCGGAAGCGCAUUAGGCGUGAUAAAUGUUGAACUUUCCCUGGCAUAUUUGUUGUAUCACUUUGAUUGGAAGCUUCCCAGUGAAAUGAGAAGUGAGGAACUGGAUAUGACUGAGGCACUUGGAGUUACUGUCAGAAGAAAAGAUGAUCUGCAACUGGUUCCCAUUGCUUCUUAUCCUUUGCUUGAAGCAUAAACCAUAUGCAAGUACAAGAGUUGAUAUUUGUUAUCUGCUUCUGAAAUAAAGCUAUCUUCAUUGUUGCUGCUUGCAGCAGAGUUUACUUUCUAAUGGAUAAAAUCAUGAGUGACAAUAGAUUCUAGCAGAGAUCACUUCUGAAUCAGUUUGUUGCAAAUGUAAACUAAAUAAAUUAGUUUGUGUCAAAUGACUAUUCAAGUUGUGAAUUUGAAAAGUAGUUACUUUUGCUAAAGUAACAAUACAUGAUUGAAGUCCUUCGUGAACCUUUUUUACACAAUCAGUACAUCAAAAUUAAACGUACUAAAACGUAUUAGUAUAUUAUUACUAAUAGAGGGGCCUAUUAAAAAAGAUACUUUAAUAUAUUUUUUCUGACAAGUUCUUCAUAUGAUACAAUUUAAGCAAUAGAUAUAACGGAAAUAACAAAGCAGCAAACAGACAAUGAAAAUUACCAAGUCAUCUUAGUUGCUGGAGAACUAAAUCGGCUAAAACAAGAAGCAAUAAGCAGAAACCAAAGCCUCAGUAAUUUUCAACUCAUCAAACAACAGCUGUUAGUUUUUUAUCUGUGUUGCUCCAUGGAUUCUCUGAUCCUUGACUUGCUAGCUCUUGUCACCUUCAUAGUCUGUAUUGUUUUGGCCCUGAUAAUUGGAAGGAGUCUCAAGAAAAUUGAGUCAACUGCAAACAUACCCCCAGGGCCAUGGAAGCUACCUAUUAUAGGAAACAUACACCAUCUUGUUACAUCCAAACCACAUCAAAGAUUAAGAGAUUUGGCCAAUAUAUAUGGGCCAUUGAUGCACCUUCAACUUGGA
rnacentral:lncRNA from 1 species